GCGGUGAGGUCGACGAGCUGCUGGCAGCGCUGGGGUACAAGGUUCGGUCGUCGGACAUGGCCGACGUUGCACAUAAGCUGGAGCAGCUGGAGAUGGCCAUGGUGAGCAGCGCCGCCACAAACGACGACGCCCUCCUAUCCCACCUCGCCUCCGACACCGUCCACUACAAUCCCUCUGACCUCUCUACCUGGGUGGAUAACAUCCUCUCCGAACUCAACGCCCCUCCUCCCCCUCUCCCCACGCCACCACCCCUGACCUCCGCCGACGCCUACGACCUCAAGCCACUCCCUGCUCUUCCCGCACCCGCCGACUCGCUCGUGCUGGGGUCCGAUCUCCAGUCCGAGGUCACGCCGUCCCCGAGAGACAGGAAGAGGAUGAAGGUCUGCAGUUCACCUCCGUCGUCGUCGACGACCACGGACGCGGC
rnacentral:lncRNA from 1 species